UACGAAGGGGGCUAGCGUUGCUCGGAAUUACUGGGCGUAAAGGGAGCGUAGGCGGACAUUUAAGUCAGGGGUGAAAUCCCAGAGCUCAACUCUGGAACUGCCUUUGAUACUGGGUGUCUUGAGUGUGAUAGAGGUAUGUGGAACUCCGAGUGUAGAGGUGAAAUUCGUAGAUAUUCGGAAGAACACCAGUGGCGAAGGCGGCCAUCUGGGACAACACUGACGCUGAGGCACGAAAGCGUGGGGAGCACACAGG
rnacentral:rRNA from 1 species